AGCGAACGCUGGCGGCAGGCCUAACACAUGCAAGUCGAACGAACCUUUCGGGGUUAGUGGCGGACGGGUGAGUAACACGUGGGAACGUGCCUUUAGGUUCGGAAUAACUCAGGGAAACUUGUGCUAAUACCGAAUGUGCCCUUCGGGGGAAAGAUUAAUCGCCUUUAGAGCGGCCCGCGUCUGAUUAGCUAGUUGGUUGAGGUAAUGGCUCACCAAGGCGACGAUCAGUAGCUGGUCUGAGAGGAUGAUCAGCCACAUUGGGACUGAGACACGGCCCAAAAUCCUACGGGAAGCAGCAGUGGGGAAUCUUGCGGAAUGGGCGAAAGCCUGACGCAGCCAUGCCGGGGGAAUGAUGAAGGUCUUAGGAAUGUAAAAUUCUUUCACCGGGGACGAUAAUGACGGUACCCGGAGAAGAAGCCCCGGCUAACUUCGUG
rnacentral:rRNA from 1 species